UUUAGGUUCUUUGAACAAAGGAUUUAAAGAAUAGUAGUUAUAACUAAAGAAAAAAAGUUGGGCGACCCUGAUGAUGAUCUCCCCUGUGAUUUUCCAAUUUCUCAUAUACUGAUUUACAAGAAGUAGUGCAUCUGAAGCAAAAAAGGCUUCAUCAUCCAUGUAAUUUAAGACUUUCACGACAUCAUCACUUCACAACAAAAAAUAGCACCACAAGUACCCAAAACCACAACCAGAUAUCCAUUUUUCUUUUACACUCUCAAACAAGAAACAGUUUUAACUUCACAGUGAGAUUUCUCUUUGUUUCCUUGUCCAACUGCAGAGACAAAAGAGUCCUCGUGGGGGUUGAGACUUGAACCCGAUUGACUGAAAAGACCUCCACGUUUCUCUGUAAGAGAAAGCCCAUCUUAGCCCAUCUUAGUCUUUACUUUGCACUUUCCUUUGUGUUCUGUUUUGGCAUAAACAAUUGGGUUUUCUCAUACACCACAUCCCAAUCCUCUUGCUUCUGAUCCUUUCAUGAUUCUCAACCUCUUACAGGAUGACAUGAACAUGUCCCAAGGAACAUCUCCAACGAGCAUCCAGUCACCAUCUUUGUCUUCAUAAGUAGGUACGUGCUCGGACCCUUUAUAGCCUUCUCUCUCAGAAUAGACACCCGCAGCAAACUUAAACAUGGUCUCCAAAGCCAUUAGGAGUUCAGGGUAGCCUCUAUAGACCUUGAGGUCAAUCUUCCUGAGAUAUGGUGCUCCAUCCAUGCUAACUUUCACGUACAUCCCGCUAGCACCAUCAGCAGCUUCAGUACUUUUCUUUGGCUGCAAGCUAUUCUUCCUGUAGGAUCGGAUUGGUGGCCAGCCCACAAUCUGUGCCCUGCAGGUUCAUAGCAUAUCAGAGGGCUGAAAGUCUAGAACACAAACUUGAAGUAGUUUGUAGGAGGACUUACUUAGCAGCAGGGGCAGCUUGAACAUGAUCUCCAGAUCUUCCCUUGGCUUCGGUUUCUUCAUUGGUCUCUGCAGGCAUAGGUCGCUUGUUGUGGUUGUUGCUUUUAACAGCAGUUUCUUCUUCUUCUUGUCCUGAGCCAGGCAGUCCAAGCCUGAGCUCGGUUGCCUUGAAGUUCAAGUCAUUUUCAUAUGCAACACCUUCCAUUUGUGUACGUAACAGCUAGCGUUGUACAACAAGUCCCUUAGUUUGGAGAUGAAAGAAGGAUAAGGAUUUGUUAGAGGCAGAGGAUUAGCUGGGGAGAGGGCUGAAAAUUGAAGAUGUGUUUGUUUGGUUGCUUUAUAGAAGAGUGGGAAUUAGGAUAUAAAGAAGAGUUGAAGAAGAGCAUGAAUUAUGGAGAAAGGCAAAGGUAAAGCUGUCGGUAGCAUUAGCGGCACAUUUGAGGCACCUUGUCCAUGCAUUCAGGGGACAAGAAUGGGACAUACACAGCCGCCCAUAUGGAAGAUGAAGGAAAAAGGAUAAAUAAUAAUAAUAAUAGAAUAAAUACCCCUUUUUUCUUUCUUUUUCUUUUUAUUUAGCAAAAGUAAGGAGGUUCUUCUUUUUUCUUUCUUCUUUUUCUUUUCCUGAGAAAGAGAGCUGUGGGUGGGAGGGAAAUCAGGAUCGUUGGUCUGGUUUGCUUGGGUUUAGGGUUAAGGAAGGAAGGAGGGAACAUGACCAUGUGGUUCAUGGGGUCCACAUGGAUGUUGGGUAUGGGCUCAGAUUAGUUAUGGCCAUGUGUAAGCUUAGGACUAAAAGAUGGAACAUAAGCAGUGGAUGUACAUGUACAUGUACAGGUACUACUACUUUUCUCAAAAUUUUUAAGGUUCAUGGAAUACAUUACAUGUGACUGGUGUUUAAUUAUGGUUGGUCAGCCCACUGUUUCACAAUUUCAUCCUUCUUCAUCAUAUUCAGCUGCGGGAAAGCUGCUGAUACCUCAUGACUUCGAUCUAUCUGUGUAGGAAUCCAAUUAAAACCAUCUAGACCCAGUUCAAUGCUCUAAUUAAGGUGAUUAAUGCACUUACCUGUUUACCUCCACUUGCAUUAUCAUUAUCAUGCUAGCUACUGCUGACCCAUACCAUCAGACCUCAAUACUGUGUCAGCUUCGUGUGUGUGCUUUCAAUGGCUAUCUUCUUUGUGAAUAUAUGCAUCCAUUUAUGGGUAAUGGAUGUUAAAGAUAAGGUUUGGAAUUUUCUUUUGGUUGCGACUGUUAACUGUUUCUGAAAUGGAAUUGACUCUGCCUCCAGAAAAAUUAGCUACAUGCAAUGCAAGUAUAUGUUUCAACAGAACAGACUGUCAAAUGGUAGAAAAGCCUCAACCUUUCCUUUCCUGCUUGUGUCUGUUUGUAGCUGAGGAAUUAUAGCUAGGGCUGAAAAUAGUAUACAUGGGUAGCUCUGCUGAACAAUUAAAUAAAACUUGUAACAAGGCUCAUUAAGCCUAUAAGAAUGAGAUCUGAAGGUGAAACAAUUUGAUGAUGAGUGUUGGAGAUCCAUUUGUGGAGGGGAAUUGAUUGAGGGUGGAGAUUUGGAGAGGAAGCAAAAUGAUGAGAGAAGUUUUUCCAAUUUUUGACCUUACAGUUCCUUCCAGCUAUAGGAUGAGAUGAGCCCCACCUUUGUCCAGUGGUCUGAAAUGGAAUCGGAUGCUCUAUCAAUCAAAACUGUACAGCCAAAAGACUAUCAAUUCCAUCAAGUCAUUGUCCACACAUAUACACAGACCAUUCACUGUUGUCCACCCGUGCGUCUUGGAAAGUUGUUCAAUUAUUAACCACCUACUCAUCACUAUCAUCUUCCUUUUAUUCAACUAGCUACGUACCACUUGGUAAAACAAGAGCUACCCUGUUAAAACAUCUCUCUUUUUCUUUGUUUCUCGUCUCUUAAUUAUGUUUAAUCACACCCUCAGCCUAACAACCGCUAGACUUCCUUUCUGUCUGUCAGUCAUCUGUAAACAGAAUUGUUUUGUACCAAGUCAGGAAUUGCUUUCAACAUACAAAACUACUCAGUUGGUUGCGUCAAGUAAACCUAAUACUCAACUGUUAUUGGCAUCUCAACUGUCCAUACUGCUGUAUUAACUUCCCCUGCAUGUGUCAGAAAUAAAAUAAUGACAUAUUUGGCCAUAUCGAAGUUUGGAUUAGGAACAGCAUUUAUAGGAAUCAUAAACUAUUCUUUCAGAUUGUGACUAUCGAGACUCAGAUACAAUGCAUUCCUACGGAGCAAUGCACUUUGCCUCAUGAUGGAUGCAUUGUAGCUCCAGUAGGAUUAUUAUUUCUUGGACUUGGUGAUUCAAUUCAAUGCCCUUCCAGUUCCAGAACAAUAGCUAUCAGAUUAGCUUCAAGUCAUAUUCAUCGGGUGAAAAAUACUAGAACCAGAGCUCCCUUUUUUUACCUCAAAUUUCUGUAAAAAGGGAAUGCUUCAUUCCAGAUAACCAUCAAGUCAAUUGCUUAAUCUUAUGAUUUAAUCCUAAUAAAAUGGUUGACGAGUACCAGUCUGUGAAGGUUACUACUUCCUUCACUGUACUAGGUUUCCUUGAUGUUUUGAAUUCUUAUCAUCCGAGAGCACUGUCCCGAACAAAGAUUGAUGAUAUGAAAUUUUGUGGUGCAGGCCUUGCGAAUGGAUAACCUUGAUUGCAAAGGAAUGGUGUUAGCACUUCACUACAGGAUUGCC
rnacentral:lncRNA from 1 species